rnacentral:lncRNA from 1 species
ACCAUUUGCCUACGAAUUUCACAAAGUCGUUGUUUUUGAUAGCUGAGUAAUAUUCCAUUGUGUAGAUGUACCACAUUUUCUGUAUCCAUUCCUCUGUUGAAGGGCAUCUGGGUUCUUUCCAGCUUCUGGCUAUUAUAAAUAAGGCUGCAUGAACAUAGUGGAGCACGUGUCUUUUUUAUAUGUUGGGGCAUCUUUUGGGUAUAUGCCCAAGAGAGGUAUAGCUGGAUCCUCAGGCAGUUCAAUGUCCAAUUUUCUGAGGAACCUCCAGACUGAUUUCCAGAAUGGUUGUACCAGUUUGCAAUCCCACCAACAAUGGAGGAGUGUUCCUCUUUCGUCUUCUUGAGGAAGUCUUACUAAGACACAUGGAGUGGCCUUGAGCCUCCUGUGCAUCCUUGGGAGGCACUGAAUUUUCAGUCCUGCUUCAGCCUCCCAACUGGCUGGCCAUGCUAUACCCUGCAGUAGUAACCUAGUAUGUUACAUAUAACUUAUAUUGUUACUUUUUUAAAUUUCCCUAUGACACCAACCCCUGACUGAAUUACACCAGGCUCCCCAGUUCCCAGCAAAACUGAUGCCUUCAAAGCCUCUGGGUGUUUUAGAACCAUUUACCCAGGGUUAUUCACACAGCCAUUGUGGUUGCAUCUCUGGCCCUCACUCAGUACUUCAGGUCUUCCCCUGACUGGAGUACUCUGCACUGGCUGCCCCUUCUGCUGGUGUGGUCUUUUAAAGUGACACAUUCACAUUCC